UUUGUUGUUUUUUUCUCCAGAACAUGUAUGCUGUACCUAUUUACUUGAAUUGUAUAGAUAUAUUUACGUCAUCAAAAUAUGUCACAUGACUUAGAAGAAGGUUUAGAUAGUUGUGCAACAUUGUCACAUUCUGAUAUUUAUUCAGUGAUUUUAUGGCGGUCAAUGCUAUGUGUCUUUGUUUUUUUAAUCUUUAAAUAUUAUCCUUUAUAGGUGCCCAACUCUUCAUGCAAAGCUUCUACAUCUGGUGAUGCUAAAGGUACCAGUGAUGCUGAAUAUGUGGCGAUAGCACAUGCUACAGGAGUAAAAAUUCUUAAACAUCAGUGGGCUGCUGCUCUUCAGGCCCAAACACCCACUUCAAUGGUGCGUGUUCUUCUGACGGCUGCCUUCCCACUGGAGGUUUUGAUCCAGAGCAAUUUAAAAGGAGGACACAGCAAAACAGACAUCGGCGCAGAGCGAAGAACUGCCCUUGAUAAAGAAACCAUGACAGCCAUAUAUAGUAAGUGAAGACUGUGUAUCUAAAAUUGCAUACUGCACAAGUAACUCACUUUGCAACAAUAAAAAUUGCACAAAGAGGUGAUGAUGCAUUGAAGUAGUGUGACUCAGACGAAGAAGGUCAACAGAUUGAAUGCUGGAGAGUAAGGAUAGAUGACCAAAAGGGGUUAGUAUUACUGUAAUGUGAACUGGAUAGAAUUUCCAUCGGGGAAAAAAAAAGGUAAAAUUAUGUGUAAAAUAUAUCUGUAUCUCUAUAAACGGAAAUAUCUGUU
rnacentral:lncRNA from 1 species